rnacentral:lncRNA from 1 species
AGGCAUACAAGACCCUAACUUCAUUGAAGGGUGUGACUGCCUUUGGAUUUGAUUUGGUUCGUGGCACCAAGACCCUUGAUUUGGUCAAGGCAGGUUUCCCUGAGGGAAAGUACCUCUUUGCUGGUGUUGUUGAUGGAAGGAACAUCUGGGCCAAUGACUUUGCUGCGUCUCUCAGCACCUUGCAGGCACUUGAGGGCAUUGUUGGUAAAGGUAAUUGUUCUUCCAAAAUCAUCUGCCUUUUACCUGACAUUACUAGGGAAUUAUUCAAAAACAAAUAUAUGGAAUGUUGAUCUGUUGUCUAUCUGAUGCAGACAAGCUUGUGGUCUCAACCUCCUGUUCUCUUCUCCACACCGCUGUUGAUCUUAUCAAUGAGACUAAGCUUGAUGAUGAAAUCAAGUCAUGGCUGGCGUUUGCUGCUCAGAAGGUUGUUGAAGUGAACGCAUUGGCUAAGGCUUUGGCUGGUCAGAAGGAUGAGGUAUUUUACCCGCAUGCUUCUCUAGUAGUGGACCCUUGAAUUAUCUGUACUGUAAAUGAGCGAAAGUACUAGAACUCAAUAUUUUUUCUCUUUCAGGCCCUUUUCUCUGCCAAUGCUGCGGCUUUGGCUUCAAGGAGAUCUUCCCCAAGAGUCACCAACGAGGGUGUCCAGAAGGCUGUAAGUUUGAUGUCAAACUGAUGCACUGUUCUCACUCAAUGAUUUAUUUUCCUAAUCUUGUAUUCAUUGAGAUAGUUUCUUAUUCUUGUUAUCUCAGGCUGCUGCUUUGAAGGGAUCUGACCACCGUCGUGCAACUAAUGUUAGUGCUAGGCUAGAUGCUCAGCAGAAGAAGCUCAACCUCCCAAUCCUGCCAACCACAACCAUUGGAUCCUUCCCACAGACCGUAGAGCUCAGGAGAGUUCGCCGUGAGUACAAGGCGAAAAAGUUAGUCUCCUGAAUUUAGUCCUUGGGCUUAUGCGUUACACAUUUCCUUAAAUUGUUGUGAUGCUAACGGUUUCUCUAAUCUCUCUUAUACUAGGGUCUCUGAGGAGGACUACGUUAAGGCCAUCAAGGAAGAGAUCAAGAAAGUUGUUGACCUCCAAGAGGAACUUGACAUCGAUGUUCUUGUCCACGGAGAGCCAGAGGUGAGUUUUUUAUUCUAUGUUUUUGCCUGAAGCCUUGAAGUGGAGGGAAUGUACAAAAGUUAUUUCUGGUAGUCCUUUUUACUGUUUCUGAUGAGACAUAUUUUCACAAUUUUGUAGAGAAACGACAUGGUUGAGUACUUCGGGGAGCAGUUGUCUGGUUUUGCCUUCACUGCAAACGGAUGGGUCCAAUCUUAUGGAUCUCGCUGUGUGAAGCCACCAGUUAUCUACGGUGAUGUGAGCCGUCCCAAGGCAAUGACCGUCUUCUGGUCCGCAAUGGCUCAGAGCAUGACCUCUCGCCCAAUGAAGGGUAUGCUUACCGGUCCCGUCACCAUUCUCAACUGGUCCUUCGUCAGAAACGACCAGCCCAGGUACAUAAUGUUACCAUAAUCUAAAAACAAAUAUGACUACCAAAUAAAGAACAAAACACUAAAACAAUCUUGGAAUCAUUGUAGGCACGAAACCUGUUACCAGAUCGCUUUGGCCAUCAAGGACGAAGUCGAGGAUCUUGAGAAAGGUGGAAUCGGUGUCAUUCAGAUUGAUGAGGCUGCACUUAGAGAAGGACUACCACUCAGGAAAUCCGAGCAUGCUUUCUACUUGGACUGGGCCGUUCACUCCUUCAGAAUCACCAACUGUGGAGUCCAAGACAGCACCCAGGUUUGCUUAUAUAAAAACUUCUCAUAUCAAGUCUCAUGUAGUGUAAUGAUUUCUCAGUUGCUCAUAACUUGUGUGUUUCUGUUGUUUUUUUUGCAGAUCCACACUCACAUGUGCUACUCUCACUUCAAUGACAUCAUACACUCCAUCAUCGACAUGGAUGCUGAUGUCAUCACCAUUGAGAACUCCAGGUCUGACGAGAAGCUUCUCUCCGUGUUCCGUGAAGGAGUGAAGUACGGUGCUGGAAUUGGUCCAGGAGUCUACGACAUCCACUCUCCAAGAAUACCAUCUUCUGAGGAAAUCGCAGACAGGGUGAACAAGAUGCUUGCUGUCCUAGAGCAGAACAUCCUUUGGGUUAACCCUGACUGUGGUCUCAAGACCCGUAAGUACACCGAGGUUAAGCCUGCGCUCAAGAACAUGGUUGAUGCGGCCAAGCUCAUCCGCUCCCAGCUCGCCAGUGCCAAGUGAAGAUAACCUUGAUUUGAACAAGGAAAACGUCUUUUUUUUUCUAAAAUGGUUGUGUUUUAUUUGGUUUAAUAACUUUCUUAAAAAUAUCUUUAGUCGAAGUUAGAUUUGAUGCAUAUGGUUUCUUUCUUGUUGAGAGAGAGGGAUGA